CUGAGAUCAAUCCCGUCGCCAGCAACCACAAAGCGCUGCUACUAGCAAGCGCUCGCGUGGCAAGGGAACUUCUUCUUCUACUUCACCUUCAUCUGGGCAACCACCAGCAACCCCACCACAACAACAACUAGUCCGAGCAAGAAGAACAACAGCUGCAAAUCCAGCCGCACUUGGUCGACAUUGCUUAUGGACAUUUUAAAAUGCUGAUAACGAGAGCCGCUUCCAAGUCAUGAGAUAGAAGCAAGUAAUGGCCGGACGAUGCAUUGACUUUGUAUCCCUGGAGAGAGUGGGAUUGGCUCAGGAUGUUCGUGCAUUGUUUGACACACUGCCUUACGCACGCUUCUUCGACAUCAUUGAGCCUACCUACCGUGAGCUCACCAUUGAAUUCCUAAGCACCUUCUUCCUAUAGCAACAUAUCACAAACUAGCAUCAGCCUAAUGCAGUUUACUUCAGACUUGGAGGAAGGGAGGGCUCAAUGUCAGUUCUACAGUUCGGGAUGCACUUGGAUUUAUGGACUGGGCAAGAGAUCUCAAAUGAGGAGUAUCAAGGAUGCAUCUAUGUCCACCGCAUCUCGUACGACACCAUAUGGGAUUUAAUAGUACUCAGGCCAGAAUCGUAUUAUUCCAGCAGGUCUAAGGCGUCUAGCCUUCCGAAUCAUCUUCGCUAUCUUCAUACAGUUUUAGCUUACACUAUUACAAGCCGAGGAGAUAGUUUUAGAGCGGUCACACAGACCGAUGUACUCAUUCUCUAGGCUAUGCAACACCAUAAGAAGCUUGACAUGGGAUAUUUAUUUGCUCGUCAAGUCCGUUCCUUUAUAGUCGACGCCCAUAAGAAAAUGCAUUGCUGCUUUGGCCAAUAUGUGACUAGAUUGGCCAAGAGGUUGGAUGUAUUGGACGACUGUCUAGCUGAGCUUUCUCAGAUUGGUGACAUGACACCAUUAGGGGUUAGACAGAUGAUCAACAUGCAGAUGAUCAUAGCCACUCGACACCCACAUGGCAUUUAGUAUAGGCUCGUCAGUGCAAUAAUCAAGGAGGCUAGAGAGGCAGUAGGUCUAGAAGCCUAAGACCCUACUGCUAAGAUUCUAGAUGUUAGGAUUCCUAACCCAGCCAGAGUAUUUAUGCCUACAUCUGGAGCUUCCCCUUCUUACUUUGUAGGGACAUCGAGUGCUCAGAUUAGUGCUUUGGCUGACCGACUAGAUCGAGUUUGUGAUUUAUAGCAGCAGCACUAUACUGAGUUUGUGCAGCAUAGAAAGGAGUUUGGGUAGUUUCAAGAUGAGACUAGGGCACAGUUCCAGGGGAUAAAUGAUAUGCUCUAGCAGCUUAUGGAUGGAUUGCAUAGGCAGGCCACCCAAACGGACCUCAUGGCGGAGCAGAUAUAAAAGAUGGCGGAUUCUGGAGCAUAAUCUCAGCGAUUCAUUGAUGACAUUGAGUUUGAUCUAGCAGGUGAUUAUCAAUGGACAUUAUCAGUAGUCGAGGGAGAUACGUGCAAAUACGGACCAGAACCCAUCAAAAUUAAGCAAAGGCUACCACUUCAAGGUUGAGCAUGGCCUGGACUUUGGCGUGCUGAACCAUUGACAUUUGACCCUCAAAAGUGUCCUUUAGGCAAGGUUUCUGAGGCCACCACGGCCUCUAUCACUGUCAGGGAGAAUAGCUAUUUUUCAAGACUCGGAGGUCCAGCACGGGCAGAGCACGGGCUUGACCACGGCUUUGUUGGGACAAUUAUAUAGGCUUCGAUAUUUGACUUUGGGAGACUAUUUCGCAUAUUGAAGAUCAAGAGUGGAUUUGGAGGCAUUCAAAAGGCAAUUUUAGGUUUAUUAUUCAGAUUUGGGGAUUUAGGGCUGUUCAUCUGACUUGAAGAAGAAGGGUGUACAUGUUUUCAAUUUGCUUUUAUGUAUUUGUUCCUUACUUUGUGUUAUUUGUUAGCAUGAGUAGCUAGAAUUGUUGAACCAAUUGGGGUUCCUUUGUUGUUGGAUUGCAUUUAAUGUUUAUGAGAUUUUGAUUAUCAA